rnacentral:rRNA from 1 species
GAGCGUGCUUUCGAUACGGGUUGACUUGAGGAAGGUAGGGGAGAAUGGAAUUCCUGGUGGAGCGGUGGAAUGCGCAGAUAUCAGGAGGAACACCAGUGGCGAAGGCGGUUCUCUGGGCCUUUCCUGACGCUGAGGAGCGAAAGCGUGGGGAGCGAACAGGCUUAGAUACCCUGGUAGUCCACGCUGUAAACGGUGGGUACUAGGUGUGGGGUCCAUUCCACGGGUUCCGUGCCGUAGCUAACGCUUUAAGUACCCCGCCUGGGGAGUACGGCCGCAAGGCUAAAACUCAAAGGAAUUGACGGGGCCCCGCACAAGCGGCGGAGCAUGCGGAUUAAUUCGAUGCAACGCGUAGAACCUUACCUGGGUUUGACAUGGAUCGGGAGUGCUCAGAGAUGGGUGUGCCUCUUUUGGGGUCGGUUCACAGGUGGUGCAUGGCUGUCGUCAGCUCGUGUCGUGAGAUGUUGAGUUAAGUCCCGCGACGAGCGCAACCCUUGUUCACUGUUGCCAGCACGUUAUGGUGGGGACUCAGUGGAGACCGCCGGGGUCAACUCGGAGGAAGGUGGGGAUGACGUCAAGUCAUCAUGCCCCUUAUGUCCAGGGCUUCACGCAUGCUACAAUGGCUGGUACAGAGAGUGGCGAGCCUGUGAGGGUGAGCGAAUCUCGGAAAGCCGGUCUCAGUUCGGAUUGGGGUCUGCAACUCGACCUCAUGAAGUCGGAGUCGCUAGUAAUCGCAGAUCAGCAACGCUGCGGUGAAUACGUUCCCGGGGCUUGUACACACCGCCCGUCAAGUCAUGAAAGUUGGUAACACCCGAAGCCGGUGGCCUAACCGUUGUGGGGGAGCCGUCGAAGGUGGGACUGGUGAUUA